rnacentral:rRNA from 1 species
UGAAUACGAGAUGCUACGGCGUCGAAGCAGUCUAUGUCAUACUUCCAAGAAAAGCUCGCACUGUCAUAAACAAAUAAUGCCUGUACCAUAACCGACACAGGUGGGUAGGUAGAGUAUACUAAGGGGCGCGAGAUAACUCUCUCUAAGGAACUCGGCAAAAUGACUCCGUAACUUCGGGAGAAGGAGUGCCUUAUUUAUAAGGUUGCAAUAACAAGAUCCAAGCAACUGUUUAUCAAAAACACAGGUCUCCGCUAAGUCGUAAGACGAUGUAUGGGGGCUGACGCCUGCCCAGUGCCAGAAGGUUAAAGAAGUUGGUUAGCAUUCGCGAAGCUGAUAACUGAAGCCCUGGUGAACGGCGGCCGUAACGAUAACGGUCCUAAGGUAGCGAAAUUCCUUGUCGGGUAAGUUCCGACCCGCACGAAAGGCGUAAUGAUUUGGAUACUGUCUCGGAGGGGGGCUCGGUGAAAUAGACUUGUCUGUGAAGAUGCGGACUACCUGCACCAGGACAGAAAGACCCUAUGAAGCUUUACUGUAACUUGAGAUUGAAAUUGGACUUUACUUGCGCAGUAUAGGUGGGAGGCGUUGAUAAUAUUCUUGCGGGAUUAUUUGAGCCAUCAGUGAGAUACCACUCUUGUAAUGUUAGAUUUCUAACUUUGUAUCAUUAUCUGGUCAAAGGACAGUUUCAGGCGGGCAGUUUGACUGGGGCGGUCGCCUCCUAAACGGUAACGGAGGCGCACAAAGGUUUCCUCUGAACGGGUAGAAAUCGUAUCUAGAGUGUAAAGGCAUAAGGAAGCUUGACUGUGAGACCUACAAGUCGAGCAGGGACGAAAGUCGGUCUUAGUGAUCUGACGGUGCUGAGUGGAAAGGCCGUCACUCAACGGAUAAAAGUUACUCUAGGAUAACAGGCUGAUCUCCCCCAAGAGUUCACAUCGACGGGGAGGUUUGGCACCUCGAUGUCGGCUCAUCGCAUCCUGGGGCGGUAGUACGUCCCAAGGGUUGGGCUGUUCGCCCAUGAAAGCGGUACGCGAGCUGGGUUCAGAACGUCGUGAGACAGUUCGGUCCAUAUCCGGUGUAGGCGUUAGAAUAUUGAGAGGAGCCUUCUUUAGUACGAGAGGACCGAGAAGGACAUACCUCUGGUGUACCAGUUAUCGUGCCAACGGUAAACGCUGGGUAGCUAUGUAUGGAGUGGAUAACCGCUGAAAGCAUCUAAGUGGGAAGCCCACCUCAAGAUAAG